rnacentral:rRNA from 1 species
UACAGAGGUCUCGAGCGUUAGGCGGAAUCACUGGGCUUAAAGCGUGUGUAGGCGGAUCGGUAAGUACCUUGUGAAAUCCCACAGCUUAACUGUGGAACUGCUUGGUAUACUGCCAGUCUUGAGCCAGCUAGGGGCUACCGGAACAAAUGGUGGAGCGGUGAAAUGCGUAGAUAUUAUUUGGAACGCCAAUGGUGAAAACAGGUAGCUGGGGCUGUGCUGACGCUGAGACACGAAAGCCAGGGGAGCAAACGGG